UGCUUUGACUUUAUUCCUCCUAUCCCUGGGUUUUAUGCGCGACGCGGAUGUAAAUAAUGCCCGCGAAAGCUUUCUUUUGCCAAUCGAAGGAUCUAUUUACCUUUUGUCUACAGUCUUUGUGUUAUUUAUUAUACGGUGAAAAAAAUCGUGAAUGAACGUGAAAAGUUCAGCUAUUUUUCCCUAUAGUAGUAUUGCAGCCAAAGCCUAGAAAGAGCCUGCAGAGAGCAGUGCAAAAAUAACGUCCGUCAUAAACUGUGUCAGAGCAAAAAAGUGCCUCGGUCGAUACCAUACACCUACACCCACCGGUUUUAACUUUCAACGAAAUCCGCCGGAAACACUUUCCGAGAGCUGGAUCUGCAAGCUUUGCAAGUUCAAGCUUAGCAUACGCGGUGAUGCAAGAAUUCGAAAUUUAAAGUUCACCCAGCCAUGAAAUUCUCACGAGCGUUACGUGCGCGCGCAUACGACGUAAGCCGACACCUCAUAAUUAUUAUGUGGAUUCCUGCGCUGAAAAACGAGUGAUUCACGCGCACGAGCGUAGAACUGGGCGUGUGCAUAUCAGUCCAGUGUAUAAAUUACGAUGCAGCAGAAGAACCACAAACCGCAUAUCGAGAUCAUUUUUCCAACAAAUCGAAGCCGACGAUACGUGACCAAAAAGCUCCAUAGUACACCGAGUGAUAGACGUAUAAACGUAAGCGUCGCGAUGAGUUUCUCCGAGUACAGCAUCGCUGAUCUAAUUGACAUUGCAACCGGGCUCAGGGCCGCACUUCCGAGUGCAAGAUCGCCGUCCGCUCGCUGUGUAAAUUCGAAAUGCGCGCGCUUUCUGCAAGCUCUCGAGAUCCACGCGCGCGUGUACGAUCUGCCCGGCCUUGACUAUGUACAGCUAUAUAAAACGCGCUACUCGCUUUAUUUCCACUUUUCGCGCGGCUUUUCUCAUUCAAUUUCCUCCCGAGAGUCAUCAUAGGCGGCUGGCGGCUAUGUGCUGCACUUGAAAAGAUUUCGCGCGCUUUUGUCCCAGUUUCGAAGGGGCGCGUCGAGAGUUUUUCGAAACUUCUCGAACGACCGUAUGAGGAGCGCAGCGUCCCUCACAAAAGCGCGUCUUAAUUUGCUAAUCUAUUUUUAAUCUAAUGAUUCGUUUUACAUUGUGUAUAGCGAGCUAACGGUUUCCAUUAGAUUUCCUGCGUCGUCGCCGCCACCGCUCGACCACUUGAGAGUGCGAUACAGCUUUUAAGAUCUAUAAAACUGUGCGUCUUAUACCCUUUUGUAUAUUUAUACUAUAUACAUCGGGCUGUUCAAAAGCUUCGAAUAUUUCCGAACGAUGAGUCCGGAAAAAAACCGAAGGAUACAGAUUAUCCGCAAGAAUGAAAGAAAAAUAGAGAGAAAUUAUAACAUCUCGCUCGCAACACAAUUAUUCAAUUACUGAAUAAUUCGCUCGAUCGUAUUAUACUCCGCUGCAGCGAGCGCGCGGAGUUUAAGUAGUAGCAUUAUACUAUGCGCGUGACCCUCGCUGAAAUGUGUCAAUAUCAGAUCCUACGCAAAAGAAUUUUAUUGCAAGCACUGCGCGCGCCGCUGCACACUGCGACGAUCAAAGAUUCCCGCGGUGAAUAUAUUGUAGCACCUUCCAGGUUAUCGAAAAAAAAUCGACCUUUCUCCCUAUCGUCGUCAUCGUCGUCGUGUACUGUGCGCUCGAUUGCGAUUUCCGCCCCAUUUGUUCGACGAGCAAUAUAUAGCCGGCUUUUUUUCAAGGAGAUUCAUAAUGCAUUGAAAAGCGAUACCGCGAUAAGUGGUAAACCACCUUGGCUUUGAAUCUUGCGUAUCGCAGCGCGCGUGCGGUGUACGCGUGUGUGUGUGUGUGUGUGUUUGUGUGUACUUAUUGUCGCUUCCUCUUUUAUACGAUCCGAGUUGGUUGCGAUUUCGUCGUCGUUAUGCAAAGCUGUUUUUCGCAAAGAGCGUUUGUUUCUCAGUUGACCGGACAGAAACGGAAAUAAAGCUUUCUUCUUGCACAAUCGGGUCGAUCGCUUUUCCAUACCGUAACCUUGAAUAUGAUCGACGAGCUGCUCGAGCACGGAGAUGUUCCAUUUUUUUUUAAAUAAUCAAUCAAUUACUUUGUCAUUCGAUUAGCGGUCUUCUGGAAAGCGGCGCAAAAGUGCGUUGUGACAUCGAAAGAGACGAGCUUGGUGUGAACUUUGCAAUCGACCCUACGACGAUGUUCCGUUCAAUCAGGUGUAGACAUCGAUGAUUUUUCAAGUGCAAGAAUUCAGAUAUAUUUAUACAAAACGUUUCCUCUCAAUAAUCGAGGUCAGCGCGUAGUUGAAAAAGCUGAAUGUUAAAAGGAACGCUCGCGAUUAUAUUGUUUGCUCGAGUAUAAUCAUUAAUCGAUACAAAAAAAAAAAAAAAAAUAAAUAAAAAUCGUUAUAGAUCGACGCUGCCGGAAGCCGAUCGAAAAAAAUCACAAGGCAGGUGGCAGUUUGUUCCUCUAUAUACACCGAGCACUGGCUCUCGUCCGCGUAUACGUAUCGGUGUGUGUAUUUACUCACGUCGAGGACUGCUGUUGCUUUUCUCGGACCUUGCGGUUUCAUCACUACGAGAGGCAAGAGACUCGUUGAACGACGGAUCCUCUCUCUCUCUCUCUCUCACACUCCCUGCAACGAUCGGCACAUUUUUUCCUUUUUUCCUUCGAUUCUCGACGAUAUCGCGCUGAGUUAGAGAUCGAAUUUAAGCUCAGCGAAUUCCCGACACCACAGACAUGUUUGCGUGUAUACAGUGAUAAAAAAGAAGAAAGAAUCGGUUGGUGAUCGGCGCGUGUCACAGAACGUCCGGUGGUACCGCACUGUUGGAGAUCGUUCCUUUGCCUGUCAUUUUCGAAGAGCAAUAUGACUACGGCAGUACAACAAGAAGCACAGUCUCCAACGUCGGAGUCCCCAUCACCAAUAGCGUUGAGGAUAUGAAACGCUAUACCGAGUAGAGCCGUUCCAAUCAAGUCACCCGCAGCCGUCAAGUACGGAAUGGCAGAACUGUCAGGAUCUAUACCUUUUGUCCACAUCCAAACAACUAUUACUUGAGAAAUGUAUAAUAAUAAAAUUACCUGAAAUUUAAUACAAAUCAUUAUUUAUGAUA